GAAGCGGGACAGAGCUCAAACUUGAAAUCUCUGUUGCUUGCAACAGCGAAUUGUAGUCUCGAGAAGCGUUUUCAAGACGGAUAUCCAGUGCUCAAGUUGCCUGGAACGGCACACCAAGGAGGGUGACAGUCCCGUUCGUGGCACUGGAUACUGUUCACGAUGCGCUUUCUAUGAGUCGGGUUGCUUGGGAAUGCAGCCCAAAAUGGGUGGUAAACUCCAUCUAAAGCUGAAUAUUGGCACGAGACCGAUAGCGAACAAGUACCGUGAGGGAAAGAUGAAAAGAACUUUGAAAAGAAAGUUAAAUAGUACGUGAAACCGUCAGAGGGGAAGCGCAUGGAAUUAGCAAUGCUCUGUCGAGAUUCAGAUGGUCGGUUCGAGUAACAGUCGUCGUACAGAUCCGAAUGGACUGUUGGUGUCUGUCUUCUCGUUCUGGCUGUCGCACUUCCCGGCUGAGCGUGUCAACAGCUGUUGACGUCGAGCAACAAGCCCCUGAGGAAGGUAGCCUGUCGCUUGCGGUGGGUGUUAUAGCCUCGGUGUGCCGGCUCGACGUUGACAGAGGCGUCGCAGCAUAUGCCCUCUCGUGGGGCUGGCUUCUCUGCUGUCAGUUGGUUGUCGACCAUGGUGGACUGCUUGCUAGUGCGCCUGAACUGCUGCCGGCUGUCGUGCGGAUGUAUGCACACUAUAUGCUUAGGUUGUUGGCG
rnacentral:rRNA from 1 species